GGGCGUUGUUCGUGUGAGAGCGGAGGGUGGCGUGGCCUGCGGUGGUGGGAGUGGACAGGGGAGAGAAGGGAAUGGAUUAGGGGUAUAUUUUGGAGGUAGAACUAAGAGUACUUGGUGAUGGAUGUCGGUGGAGGGUGACGGAGACACAGGUUUAGAGGGUUCCUUUCAGGUUUCUGGUUUGAGCAACUAGCUGGGCUGGAGGGGGUUGGGUGGGAAAACCAGGUGUAGGCAGUGGUGGGGAGGGCAGACCCCAAGCUCACCUUUGGACAUGUUUGAGAUGCCAUGAGACACAUGAGGGAGCUGUCAAGUCAGCGCUGGGUCUGUAAGCCUGCAGGUGGGCUCAGGAAGACCACCCGGGUUGAGCUGCGUCUCUGGGAGCUGUGGGCCCAUCGAUGGUGUUGAAAGAGGUGAAAAGAAGUUCAGUCUCCCAAGGAGACUGUGGAGGUGAGAGGAGAGCGCCGGGCCUGAGCCUGAAGAGGUCAGUAGAUGGGGAGAUGAAGAAGGAAAGUCAGAGAGGAUGGUGGCAAGAAAGCCAAGAAAAGAGAGAGUGGAAGGCGUGUUAACUGAGGAGGAAGAUGGAGGCAUCUGGAACCACUGUGGGAUUCUGUGCAGAGAUUAGGAGUAAGGACAAUAAUGAACACUUAAGGACUCACCGUCUACCAGACAUGGGCUAAAUGCUUUACACCACUUCUCUUAGAUAAUUCUCCCAAGAACUCUGCAGCAUCUCCACUUUACGAAUGAGGAAACGGAAGCACAGCUGUCUUGGGCUUGCCCGGGGCCACACCGCUGAUAGCAGCGGUGCCAGGUCUCACAGUGGUUCUUACUGACUGGAGGCUCUGCACCCAACCAUGGCCCUCACUGCCUUGAUUCUUGGCCCAUACGGGCAAGGAUGGAUGUGCCUUAAACUCACCGUUGGUGCUUUAGAGCUUAGAUUGGGAGGUCUCACUUUAUUGGAGAAUAAACACGAAAACCACUUUGUUUUCUAGUAAUGCCUACUGGCUGUGCUGUGUUGACCAUGACCUGGGCAGCAGGUUCCCUUGGCAACUUCUCAAUUGGGUUCCAUAAUUUUGCACUCACUUCUGCUUAUUGCAACAGUCUCCUGGUUAUUGGAACUUACUCUCAUUCAUUUUGCAAUUUCAACUUCAACUUCAGAGUCCAUUCAGAGCUCCUUGCCUCCUCCCAGCCCUGGCCGUGUCCCUGGAGCCGAGGCUUGGAGAGGAGGAAGGCGUGGUCUGUUUGCUCGCACACCCUCCCUCUCUGUGCAUUUCCCCUGUGUGGUGGUGGUGGCGGGGGUUGGCUGGAGGGAUGGGACAGGGGCUUGCUUGCUUUCUUUCAGGAGGUCAUUGCCUGGUGCAGAUGUUGACCGUGGGUUUGGUGUGGAGAAGUGGAAACCCCAACAAGCCCCCAGGGGUCUGUUGGGAGCUCAGCAAUUUCUAAGCUUUGCGAGCCUGGACCCCAUCUUUCCGACGUCCCCCAGUGGUGGCCUGGUGCCACAUCCUCUUGUUGUCGCCCCGAUUUGGCUCAUGGCUCAGUGGUGUCAGGUGCGCCUGCAGCCCAGUCUCUCCUCUCCGUGGCCUCAUUGCUGGGCUUACGGCAGAGGUAGAUGCAUCUUUAGUUCUUCUGACGCUGGCACUCUCGUUCCAGCCACCUGGCUUCAGGUCCUGCUCGUUGGACAGGGCGGGAAGGCCAAAGGCUACGGAGCCCACCAACCCAGACGCCUUCCUCCGUUUCUUGCAGACGCUGCUAAAUGUGGUGAGGGAGGCUCUGAGGAGAGGGGAGCCACUCUCUUCUGUCACACAGCCUCUGAGUUCCCACGCCUCCCCCCUCACCUCCUCGUGAGGAAGAUCGGCAGGCCAGUUCUCCGCUUCUGCCCCCGAGCGCCGGAGCCCCCUUUGAGCCUGAAGAAUGUGGAACCUUCUGUUUCUGUGUUCCAUGUCUGGGGUCACGUCUAUGACCUCAGAGGUUGAGAGAAGACCCCAGUCAGGGCCUCACUGUUAGGGUUAGGGUUAGCUUGGUGCAGGGGACUGGAUUCCUCUCAGAAAGCUGGCUGCCACGGCAUCUCGGCAACUGUGAAUUUGUAGCUCUAGAGCACCCGGGAAGGGGUAGAAGGACCCGGGAUUGUCCCUUUAGGCUGACCUAGAGAGGAGCAGGGCCAGCUGUGGACUUUUCUCCCUGUUGCUUUGCUUUCCCGAGAGACAGGCCGCGUGAGAGGGUGGCACACUGAUCCUCUCUGGCCAUACAGGGCUCCCGGGGGCCACGAGCAGAGGUGUGGGGCCUGGUGGCCCUGGUCACCCUGAAAAAGGCAAAUCGACACUACAUCUUCCUCAGUCUUUGCAGGAACCGGGCCUGGUGAUGGUCACCAGGGCUCCUGAUGGAUAUGAUGACAUAGAGGCUGCCCUCGAAAUGCCAGCGAGGUGGUUAAAAGCACUGGCCAGAAUCAGCAUUCAAUCUGGGAACAUCUUGGGCACAGUUUGAACUAAUUCCUGUCUAUAAAAAAAUACCAGAAAAGGUAAGUUAUUAAGUGUUCCACACAGCAGUGUCUCUCUUUAUCUUGUGCCAGCCACUUCAAACAAAAAAAUUUAGAACCACGGCCAAAAUGGCAUGGAGAAGGGUUGAUUUGACGACUCCUUUGUGUUCGCAGCUCUCCAAUGUUACCUGUUCUUAUAUUCAAAGGCACACUAAUUCAAUUCUGCUUUGAUCUUUGAAAUUCAUUUUAAAGAGCAUUCCGUGUCUACUCCUUGUUCUGUGAGUGUUGAGAGAGCCUUUGUCCAAUUGCAUUGGAGUUAGGUCUAUGACAAAAUUCACAUGCGAGGAGCAAUUAGUGAACAAUUAAGAACAAAAGUAGGCAACCCUGUGUUGAAGUGCAGUAGAAGUGCAGCUGGGGGAGAUGUUAGUGCAGGUUGGAGUUUCUGGUUGAGGCUCCAGGGGGACUCAGGCCAGGCCUUGAAGGACGAGCAGGAUUAGGUCAGCAGUGAGAGGGAAAGAUAAAUACCCAAACUGGAAAGACCACAGAUUCCUUUCUUCUUACCUGCAGAAAAUUGCUUUCCAAUUAGCACCCAUUGUUGACUUGAUUGAAGAGAAAGUAAUGACUUGACCUCUUCUGAUAGCAACCCUCUCCAACGCGGUGCCUUGCUCAGAGUGAGGUCUGCAGACCGACAACAUCAGCAUUACCUGGUUGUUGGAAAGGAGACUUCUUAGAAAUGCAAAUUCGCAGACUUAUUGAGUCAGAAUCUUUUGAGGUGGGCCUGACAAUGUGUGUUUUACCAAGUUUACAGGGUGGUUCUUAUGCAUGCUAAAUAUUGAGAACACUGUUCUCAAGUGUUUUUCCUGGCCACUCUGGCAUCCAGGACAUAUUUGGAAUGAAAUGGCCAGGGCCAGCUUCUAGGGCCUCUAAGUGUGGACCAAGACUGGGCAGGUACGGAUAUCCAAUUAGCAGAUCAUGUAAAUGGAAAACCUUGUAAUUGUGCCCGGCCAGCAGCGUAGUUAAAUAAAUAAAUAGAAGGAUGCCUGGCUCUCGUCUCCCACAGCUGCCUCACAUGUUUCAACCCCAGGCCACGGGCAGCAGAAGUGGCGGGGGUGGUGCUGGCUCCCUGGCAUGAGGCGGUCUGGCUAUCUGGGGAGAGCGAGCCGCCCACUUAAAACGCCCUCAUGAAAAUAACUCAUUAUCAACAAGGCUGUUACUCAGAGCUUGUUCCUCUGACAGCAAAGCAGAACCAUAAACAAGACUCCCAGUCAUCUUGUCAACCUCCUUUCAUACUUGCCGUCUAUUCUUUUCAUUAACAUUAGGGAAAAUUUUCCUGAUUCAUUGAAGCUCUAAGCCCACACAUCAUUGAGUCUUUGCUCCCACUCUGGACGGGAUCUGGAGAGUGUGAUGAGAACCACUCAUGUAUUCUCAAAACAGUAUCGGUUUCCCCACAGUCUCUUUUAGCACAAUAAUGCUAAGAAGGGCUUGGAGGGGAGGGUCUCCAGGGGAGGUCAGAGUCCUUUAGCAAACGGGCUGCCCAAAUGGAUGGGCUGGGCUUCGAAAGCCCAGCAGUUUGUUUUCCAAUGGUGGUUUGAUUCAGCUGCCAAGAACCCAAAUUAGGAAAGGUUUUGUUGACAGCUCAUAAGAGGACACUCUGAAAGACUGGGUAAAGGUUAUUGCCAACCCUAGACGAUAAAUAGACAUAUAUACAACCCAGAGAAAAAGCAUGUGUAAAUACAUGUGUGUAAAUGUAUAUAUGUUGCUGUGUGUUACUAAAAUAAAUGUGUUUCUCACAGUCUUUGCCAUGGAUGGAAUGAUCAAAACCAGCUGUUCCAUGUAGUUCUUCACUGAAAGGAAGAGAGGGGUGGAGCUGGCGGUUAAGGCAGAUCUGCAGGCUCACUUGAGCUCCAGGCUGACUCCUCUCUUCUCUGGAAAUGGUCACCGUGCCUGGCUCAAACCGCCUGUCACGUGGAUGUGCUGUCCUCUGAGCAGUUCUGUAGCUGACAGCCUGCCCAGGGCCCAAGGCAGAAUGGCCGGUGGUGGCGGCAGCCCCUCUGUGAGGUUGGCGACUGGCUGCAGCAUCCUCAGGCUUCCUCAUCGACAGCUGUGUGACACCAGGCAGGUUUCUUGACCAUUCUGCACCUCAGUCUCUUCACCAGUAGAAUGGAGGUAACAUGAGAACCUCCUCAAGGGGAUGCUGUGAGGAUUUGCAGAGUUCAUGUUCAAAGGACUUACAACAGCGCCUGGCACAGAGCAAGCCUCCUGUAAAUGUUUGUUAACUGAACGUUAAAAGUCUUGCUGUAAGGGGUUGUCUGCACUGAAGUGGCUGGCUUGACUCAAGCCUUGUUUCCUGACGGGGUCCUCUCCAUCCCUAAUCUCUCCCAUGGCCUUCCCGACUCCUCCCGGCUCCAGGAAGUGUGGGAGCAGUUCUUCUCCCCAUGGCUUUUUGGGGUGUAGAGUGAGUCGAACAUUAUUCUGUCCCUGAGCCUUCCCUUCCUCCUCCGACUGAGCAUGAGGGAGUCAAGAUGGCAGGUUCUUCUGAGCAGGAACGAGCCCACACAGGUGCCUGAAUCCCAUCGGGGGUUGGCAUGUGCCAUUAUCGGAACCCUUAAAGUGUGGGUCAGAGACAUCCUUCACCUGAGGUCAAAGGUUAGAUAAGUUCUUCAUCGAAGUGGAAUGAAGUCACUGCUUUCUCCGCCUUGUGCAUGAUGGAGCCUGUUUGGAGAACUACACGGAAAGCAAACGAAUGGCCCAUCCCCAAUUUUUCCAUUCCCUUUUUUUUUUAUCAUCAAAGUUUGAUACAGCUGCUUUGCUUUCCUAUUCCAGCACUGGUAUCUGAUAAUGGCCAACUGAUUUAUG
rnacentral:lncRNA from 1 species